rnacentral:tRNA from 1 species
AAGAAAGUGUCAGAUAGGCUAUGUGAAUGGCUUGAAACCAUUUUAAGGGGGUUCGAUUCCCUCCUUUCUCG